rfam:Pseudoalteromonas haloplanktis str. TAC125 chromosome I, complete sequence.
ACAUUCAGAAGAGGUGCGAUACUUAGGUAUUUAAUGUGAGGUGACGAACGCCGUUGAGCAUUAAAGAGGGAAGUACUCGCCGAGAAAAAUAACACGUCGUCGUCGUUAUUUUUCGGUUUAUGGGGCUGAAUCCUCAAAACUGUCACCAAUAUAGGUGGAGAGCUUCUGGCAGU